AAUUUUUACUCAAAAUCAUAAACUGUAUCAUGGGAAAGAAUAGAACAUCAGACAUUCUAAGAAAACAAUUCAGCACUUUUGAUGCUUUGAUGACAGUAUGUUUUGUGGCAUAUAUUUAUAAUCCUAUGAGAAAUUUGCAGUGUUAAUGCUUGUGCUUGGUAUAAUUUGCCUUAAUUAUGGGAGAGGGAAGCUGAAGAAAAAAUGAUUGGUACAAGUGGAUGAGUUAAAAUAUAUGAAUAAGAAGCAUUGCUGUAUGAAAAAAAAAGUGAGUGAAAAAGGAAGCUGAUAUGAUUGUAAAGAUAGAGUUGUAUUAUCUGAUCACUAGUCGGCUGCCCCAAGAUAAAAUGCAGUAUGUGCAUUUUGUUUACAUUCUGAACAUGGUGCGCUGUGAUCGCAAAGUCAUGCACUCCACGUUUAGACAACUCAUUUUGCCACUAGAAGACAGGUUGAGCAAAAAAGUAAUAUUCCAAACACAGUAUCUGCGGCAUUUUUCACACUCAACCAUGAAAAAAUAUAGUAUCUGCAAAUGAGACCACGUAAGAACAAAGUAUGUGCAGUAGCCAAUCAGAGCGCAUAUUUCCAAGCACGUGACAUGCAUGUACUGUUUUUCCCUGGUUCAAGAGUUUUAUUAUUGUUCAGAAUUCCGCAUGGUAUUGUGAAUGCAAAAACCUAUUUAUAGUUUAUUAAUAUUACAAUACAGUAAUCAGCAUUGGGACGCAAUGGUGAUUCCAUUGUGGACGCAGUAUGCACUUAUCACAAAGUUUCAAAAUGUUCAGCAUUUCAUGUUUUGGGCAGACAACUGUACCGCCCAAAACAAAAACUGGACCCUGUAUACUGCACUUGUUAUGAUUGUCAACCAAAUUGACGGGCCCAACGACAUUAUUAUAAAAUAUCUCGCGAAAGGGCACACACAUGUCCACCGAUGCUAUGCAUGGAAACAGUCCAAAAUUUGCAAGAAAGGGGACAUAUAUGAUUACACCGAUAAACACUAUUGAGGGAUCCAGAAGCCCAGGAAAAGUUCAAAUUCUAGAUUUAACCUCCUUUCAGAAAUGGGUUCC
rnacentral:lncRNA from 1 species